AUACGAAGGGUGCAAGCGGUAAUCGGAAUUACUGGGCGUAAAGCGCGCGUAGGUGGUUUUGUAAGUUGGAGGUGAAAGCCCCGGGCUCAACCUGGGAAUUGCCUCCAAAACUGCAUGACUAGAGUACGGUAGAGGGGAGCGGAAUUUCCUGUGUAGCGGUGAAAUGCGUAGAUAUAGGAAGGAACACCAGUGGCGAAGGCGACGACCUGGACGUAUACUGAAACUGAGGGGCGAAAGCGUGGGGAGCAAACAGGAUUAGAUACCCUGGUAGUCCACGCCGUAAACGAUGUCAACUAGCCGUUGGGAUCCUUGAGAUCUUAGUGGCGCAGCUAACGCAUUAAGUUGACCGCCUGGGGAGUACGGCCGCAAGGUUAAAACUCAAAUGAAUUGACGGGG
rnacentral:rRNA from 1 species